rnacentral:rRNA from 1 species
ACCCAAUAGAUACCCCGGUAGUCCACGCCCUAAACGAUGUCAACUGGUUGUUGGGGAAGGUAACUUCCUUAGUAACGAAAGCUAAACGCGUGAAAGUUGACCGCCUGGGGAGUACGGCCGCAAGGUUAAAACUCAAAGGAAUUGACGGGGACCCGCACAAGCGGUGGAUGAUGUGGAUUAAUUCGAUGCAAACGCGAAGAACCUUACCUACCCUUGACAUGUAGCGAACCCUGCUGAGAGGCGGGGGUGCCCGAAAGGGAGCGCUAACACAGGUGCUGCAUGGCUGUCGUCAGCUCGUGUCGUGAGAUGUUGGGUUAAGUCCCGCAACGAGCGCAACCCUUGUCACUAGUUGCUACGAAAGGGCACUCUAGUGAGACUGCCGGUGACAAACCGGAGGAAGGUGGGGAUGACGUCAAGUCCUCAUGGCCCUUAUGGGUAGGGCUUCACACGUCAUACAAUGGCGCAUACAGAGGGUUGCCAACCCGCGAGGGGAGCCAAUCCCAGAAAGUGCGUCGUAGUCCGGAUUGUUCUCUGCAACUCGAGAGCAUGAA